ACAGCAGCCGCCGCGGUAAUACGUAGGUGGCAAGCGUUGUCCGGAAUUAUUGGGCGUAAAGGGCUCGCAGGCGGUUUCUUAAGUCUGAUGUGAAAGCCCCCGGCUCAACCGGGGAGGGUCAUUGGAAACUGGGAAACUUGAGUGCAGAAGAGGAGAGUGGAAUUCCACGUGUAGCGGUGAAAUGCGUAGAGAUGUGGAGGAACACCAGUGGCGAAGGUGACUCUCUGGUCUGUAACUGACGCUGAGGAGCGAAAGCGUGGGGAGCGAACAGGAUUAGAGACCCCGGUAGUCCCUGUCUCUUAUAC
rnacentral:rRNA from 1 species